rnacentral:rRNA from 1 species
UACGUAGGGUGCAAGCGUUAAUCGGAAUUACUGGGCGUAAAGCGUGCGCAGGCGGUUUUGUAAGUUUGUCGUGAAAGCCCCGGGCUCAACCUGGGAAUUGCGAUGAAGACUGCAAGGCUUGAAUCUGGCAGAGGGGGGUAGAAUUCCACGUGUAGCAGGUGAAAUGCGUAGAGAUGUGGAGGAACACCGAUGGCGAAGGCAGCCCCCUGGGCUGAGAUUGACGCUCAGGCACGAAAGCGUGGGGAGCAAACAGG